rnacentral:rRNA from 1 species
UAGGGAAUCUUCCGCAAUGGGCGAAAGCCUGACGGAGCAACGCCGCGUGAGUGAUGAAGGUCUUAGGAUCGUAAAACUCUGUUAUUAGGGAAGAACAAACGUGUAAGUAACUGUGCACGUCUUGACGGUACCUAAUCAGAAAGCCACGGCUAACUACGUGCCAGCAGCCGCGGUAAUACGUAGGUGGCAAGCGUUAUCCGGAAUUAUUUGGCGUAAAGCGCGCGUAGGCGGUUUUUUAAGUCUGAUGUGAAAGCCCACGGCUCAACCGUGGAGGGUCAUUGGAAACUGGAAAACUUGAGUGCAGAAGAGGAAAGUGGAAUUCCAUGUGUAGCGGUGAAAUGCGCAGAGAUAUGGAGGAACACCAGUGGCGAAGGCGACUUUCUGGUCUGUAACUGACGCUGAUGUGCGAAAGCGUGGGGAUCAAACA